UACGGGGGGAGCAAGCGUUGUUCGGAAUUACUGGGCGUAAAGGGUUCGUAGGUGGCCAACUAAGUCAGACGUGAAAUCCCUCAGCUUAACUGGGGAACUGCGUCUGAUACUGGAUGGCUUGAGUGUAGGAGAGGAAUGCGGAAUUCCAGGUGUAGCGGUGAAAUGCGUAGAUAUCUGGAGGAACACCGGUGGCGAAGGCGGCAUUCUGGACUACAACUGACACUGAGGAACGAAAGCCAGGGGAGCAAACGGG
rnacentral:rRNA from 1 species